rnacentral:rRNA from 1 species
GACGAACGCUGGCGGCGUGCUUAACACAUGCAAGUCGAACGCUGAAGCUUGGUGCUUGCACUGGGUGGAUGAGUGGCGAACGGGUGAGUAAUACGUGAGUAACCUGCCCUUGACUCUGGGAUAAGCCUGGGAAACUGGGUCUAAUACUGGAUACGACAUGCCACUGCAUGGUGGUGUGUGGAAAGGGUUUUACUGGUUUUGGAUGGGCUCACGGCCUAUCAGCUUGUUGGUGGGGUAAUGGCCUACCAAGGCGACGACGGGUAGCCGGCCUGAGAGGGUGACCGGCCACACUUGGACUGAGACACGGCCCAGACUCCUACGGGAGGCAGCAGUGGGGAAUAUUGCACAAUGGGCGGAAGCCUGAUGCAGCGACGCCGCGUGAGGGAUGACGGCCUUCGGGUUGUAAACCUCUUUCAGCACGGAAGAAGCGAGAGUGACGGUACGUGCAGAAGAAGCGCCGGCUAACUACGUG